AUAAAACAAGUGACGUUCCCCCAGCUCGCCCAAAACUAGCUAUGCAGCAAAGCGAGAAGGCUGCCUGCAGGCACAGAAAAAAAGUAAGCACAAAAGUGGACCAUUACAGCAGCAGAUCCUCGCGGGGGGACAACAGACGACUUGCAAGGGCGGCUCAGAAGGAUUCGAAAGGCUUCAAGAACCAUUUGACAAUAAAUACACUUUACUUGCAAGCUCCAAGGACGCGCAAAUAGCACACAAUUCUAGCUGCAUGAGUAUAAAAUAGCUACUAUGAAACACGCACACGCGCGCGCGCGCACGCACACGCGCACAGCCUAUGUCGUGUGGUUUGAUAUUAUUAGAAUUAUGUAAGAUGUAUAUAAAAAUAUAUUAAGGACAUUAAAUCGGUUUUAAUGAUUAAUUGAGACCCAAACACAAUGCUGAAAGAUAUUUCACAGACGCACGUACGCACAUUGCAGCUGUUACCCGCACAUGAAUGCUGGGAUUUUUUUUUUUGUCUACUUCCGUCAGGGAAAAAGCUGGAAUGCGUUUGAUGACUAUUUCGACAUAUAUCUUGAUCGCUACUGGCUAUUUAGAACCACACGCGCACACACACGCACUUCUCAUUUGACGAAAACCAUGAUGACAAUUCCUGAUGUGAAUGAAUAUGAACGACAAUAAAAAUGCUCAUGUGUCUUGGAUACAUGCAGAAA